GACGUAGGGCGCGAGCGUUGUCCGGAUUUAGUUGGGACGUAAAGAGCUCGUAGGCGGUCUGUCGCGUCUGCUGAUGGAAACUCCGGGGCUUAACCCGGGCCUGCAGGUGGUACGGGCAGACUAGAGUGCGGUAGGGGAGACUGGAAUUCCUGGUGUAGCGGUGAAAUGCGCAGAUAUCAGGAGGAACACCGGUGGCGAAGGCGGGUCUCUGGGCCGUAACUGACGCUGAGGAGCGAAAGCAUGGGGAGCGAACAGG
rnacentral:rRNA from 1 species